UACGUAGGGUGCAAGCGUUAAUCGGAAUUACUGGGCGUAAAGCGUGCGCAGGCGGUCUGUUAAGACCGAUGUGAAAUCCCCGGGCUUAACCUGGGAACUGCAUUGGUGACUGGCAGGCUUUGAGUGUGGCAGAGGGGGGUAGAAUUCCACGUGUAGCAGUGAAAAUGCGUAGAGAUGUGGAGGAAUACCGAUGGCGAAGGCAGCCCCCUGGGCCAACACUGACGCUCAUGCACGAAAGCGUGGGGAGCAAACAGG
rnacentral:rRNA from 1 species